GCGCCGGUGCGGGCCGGGAGGCUCGCGUUCCCCGCGCGGUGGAGAUGCCCAGCGGCGGGGGGCGGCCCGAGGACGGCGCGGGGCUGCGCUCUGCGGACGCCUCGGCGCUGCGCAAGGACGACCUCGGCAGUAGGAUUAAAGAACAAAAAGUUGUCGUGGAUGAACUUUCUAACCUGAAGAAGAACAGGAAAGUAUAUAGGCAGCAACAGAACAGCAACAUAUUCUUUCUUGCAGACCGAACAGAAAUGCUUUCUGAAAGCAAAAUUAUACUGGAUGAACUGAAAAAAGAAUACCAAGAAUUAGAAAACUCUGAGAAGACCAAAAUCAAGAAAGAGUCAACUUGAU